rnacentral:lncRNA from 1 species
CACAAAAUCACAUAAUUGUUAACAGUGCUACAGUUUUACUGAGCUCCACUGGGGCAUUAGUAAGCUAGACUGAGUGGUAAAAAGCAUUAAAUUUCAAAAUAAACAAAUGACAACCCUUCACUUUUUGCCUCUCAAGAACACAACAGUAAUUUACUAAAACACUGUUUAUUUAAAAUUUCUGAUGACUAAAUAGGCUUUAAUUUACAUGAGAUAAAAUUUUGUAUAAUGUAUGCUUGAUACAUAUUUUUCAUCUAGAAUGAAAAUACUGGGAUAUGAUUUUCAUUUGCCUAUGCUUCAUACAUUUUUAAUUCUUCCCCUGGAAUCAUUUAUCUAUUAUUUUUUUAAAAAUCAAACUCUCUUUAAAGAAAACUUUUAAAUAAAACUGAUUGAUCAUAACAUGGCAUGUUCUUAGCUAAGGGCUGUUUGGUCUGUUUAGGGUUGAAAUUACCCACUAUUCACUUUUAAGGUUUAAAAAACCAAGAGAACAUUGCCCUAUUUGAUAAAUAAAAAGCCAAACCAAAUACAGAGUAGCAGAAAGCACUGUACUAUCUAGAAGUGAAGCUGAUUAAAAAAUAAGAAUCAAAGUAUGAAAAAACAAAAUAUUUUUUAAACGAUUCUCUUGCCUUAAGAUAAAUGUAGGGGUAAUGCAUGUAGA